GCAUUUCAUAUUGUUUACCUAUGUGAGUUCUUUAUCACUUAAUUUGACCAAGUAAUUAGCAUUGAUUCUACUGUCAUUAUUAUACACACACAACUAUGUGCAUGUACUCACCCAUGCACUAAACUAAGCUUUGCUUUAGGAAGGCAUCUUUCAUAAUGUUCAAACUUUGCCUAUGCCAUAUUUUUGUGUGAAUAUUAUUGCAAGAACUCAUUUCUUGUAAUGACCUUGUCCUUAAUGCUUGAUUUUUUGCUCUGAUAUUGCUCUUACUUUCUGGUAUGUGUAGCUUUAAUUGUUCAUUUUUCUCUGGGAUUUUGAUUUUCUUAAAAGGUUGGGUACUAGGAUUCGUCAUAUAAAACUAAAGUUCUAAUAUUAAAUACACAAGUACCUCAAAUAGUUUGAUAAUAGUUCCAG
rnacentral:misc_RNA from 1 species